UACGUAGGUGGCAAGCGUUGUCCGGAUUGUACUGGGCGUAAAGGAUGCGUAGGCGGACAUUUUAAGUCAGAUGUGAAAUACCCGAGCUUAACUUGGGUGCUGCAUUUGAAACUGGGUGUCUAGAGUGCAGGAGAGGUAAGUGGAAUUCCUAGUGUAGCGGUGAAAUGCGUAGAGAUUAGGAAGAACACCAGUGGCGAAGGCGACUUACUGGACUGUAACUGACGCUGAGGCAUGAAAGCGUGGGGAGCAAACAGG
rnacentral:rRNA from 1 species